rnacentral:piRNA from 1 species
GCAGAUGGUGUGAAUGUGUGUCACCGGA